GACGAACGCUGGCGGCGUGCUUAACACAUGCAAGUCGAACGAAGAGCGAUGGAAGCUUGCUUCUAUCAAUCUUAGUGGCGAACGGGUGAGUAACGCGUAAUCAACCUGCCCUUCAGAGGGGGACAACAGUUGGAAACGACUGCUAAUACCGCAUACGAUCUAACCUUGGCAUCGAGGAUGGAUGAAAGGUGGCCUCUAUUUAUAAGCUAUCACUGAAGGAGGGGAUUGCGUCUGAUUAGCUAGUUGGAGGGGUAACGGCCCACCAAGGCGAUGAUCAGUAGCCGGUCUGAGAGGAUGAACGGCCACAUUGGGACUGAGACACGGCCCAGACUCCUACGGGAGGCAGCAGUGGGGAAUCUUCCGCAAUGGACGAAAGUCUGACGGAGCAACGCCGCGUGAGUGAUGACGGCCUUCGGGUUGUAAAGCUCUGUUAAUCGGGACGAAAGGCCUUCUUGCGAAUAGUUAGAAGGAUUG
rnacentral:rRNA from 1 species